GGGAUGACCGCUCGUAGUUGAAUUUCGGAACGGCUUGGUGGUCCGCCCCUUCGGGGAGCGGGUCACUGGCCGGCUUUGUUCCUAACGGUCCUCAUCCGCGAGGGUGGGGAAUCUGGGGCUUCAGAUAUUUUACCUUGAGAAAAUUAGAGUGUUUCAGGCAGGCUUGCGCCGGAAUACAUUACGUUAGCAUGGGAUAAUGGAAUACGACUUCGGUCUUGUUUCGUUGGUUUCGCUUGGCUGAAGUAAUGAUUGAUAGGGACAGUUGGGGGCAUUAGUAUUUAGUUGUCAGAGGUGAAAUUCAGAACGAAAGUAGGGGGAUCGAAGACGAUCAGAUACCGUCGUAGUCUCUACCGUAAACUAUGCCGACCAGGGAUCCGGAGAGUUUGCAUGGAUGACUCCCCGGGCACCUUGUGAGAAAUCAUAAGUGUUUGGGUUUUGGGGGGAGUAUGGUCGCAAGGCUGAAACUUAAAGGAAUUGACGGAAGGGCACCACCAGGACUGGAACCUGCGGCUUGCUUUGACUCAACUCGGGGAAGCUUAAGACGACAUGACACUGUUCGAUUGAUAGAUUAAUGGGAUAGUAAGUAAAAAAC
rnacentral:rRNA from 1 species